AGUUCCAAAUUAUUCCAGCUGCAAAUGGCUUCCUUCUCUUUGUCCUCCAUUACUGCCAGUCUAUUUUUUGGCCGUUUAGCUCUUAGUUUUGCCUCUGUAUUCUUUGAAAUCCCCAGAAAAUUAUCUCAUUUUCGAAGCCCGCUUCCAUGUCAGCAGCUAUUUCUGUGACUCUUCCUUCAGGCUGUCCCCUUAGGCUAUGAUUUGUGUCUAGACUGAUUGAACUACCAAUAGCUGUGUUCAAAAUGGAUCGCAUCCAUACAAGACUUGCUUAUUGAUUUUGUUUUGAUGUGUAUAGGUUUUAGCUUCUUUUCAAGUGAAUUGUAUCUGAUUACAUCAUUUUUUUGAUAUGGUUUUAACUUCUUUUUAAGUGUAUUGUGUCUCUGAGUGUACAAGACUGUAUCAUUUAAUUUUGUUCACAUGGAUGGUUAUGUUCAAAUGAAUUGUGUCUGAUUACAUGGCUUCCUUAUUGAAUAUUUUUUUGACAUGCUGUGCCUGAAUUUGUAUAGAAGACUUGUAUAUCAUGACAUAGCUACUGUUUGUAAUUAUAGUAAUGUUCAUUUGAAUGAUUUGUGCCUUGGCUGAUUCAAUACAAGACAAUUAAGACUUUGCUUUUUAGCUGUUACAAUUCCAAUGACACAGUGCAUGUUCAAGAAUGCAUGAAAGAAAGAACACAAACUGUAAACAUUAUUGUUAGAUCUAUAUAGUAUUUAUUUUAAAAAUAUUUUUGUUUGAACUAUUUAUCCACUGUGCAAA